GGUCACCACAGUGUUCAUUGCACUCGCCUUGCACGCGGGAGACCCGGGUUCAAUUUCCGGCGGACCC
rnacentral:tRNA from 1 species